CACAGCAAUAAGACGCCAAGAAUAAUCGGCAAGCGAUAUGUUGUCUGGGGAUGUGGGGCCGUCUCAACAUCUGGCUAUGGGAUGUUUUUGUGGCCAACAAAUUAUAAAAUGUCACGUAUAUGGACAAAACAAGUGCGUCGUACGAGGCAGACUUUUGCUGGACCAGGUAACCCGGGGUCGAUGAAACCGACGAUUUGUGGGCAGCACUUCGAGAGAUCGUGUUUCGAACAAUCAACAAUGCUCGCUAAGGAGAGAGAGUAAAAGCUUUCUCGAAGGCUUUGCAUUUGAACUCCUAUGACUGGUUGCAGACUUGAAGGGAAUGACUUCCUGGCCUUCCUGACAUCCAGGAAAAAGUUUUAUUGGAUAGUAGAGAUCUACUGGAACCUAACACCAGAGAGAGAGGGGGAGGAGAUGAUAUGCAGCAAAAGGCCCAGCCGGAUGGUUGCUGCUCCGUGUGGAACGUGUUC